rnacentral:rRNA from 1 species
CGAACGAUUAACCCAAACUUCGGUUUGGUUAUAAAGUGGCGAACGGGUGAGUAACACGUGACCAACCUGCCUUCUGGAUCGGGAUAACCCAAGGAAACUUGUGCUAAUACCGGAUACUCCGAUUUAAUCGCAUGAUAAUUUCGGGAAAGCUUUUGCGCUAGAAGAUGGGGUCGCGGCCUAUUAGGUAGUUGGUGGGGUAGAGGCCUACCAAGCCUGCGAUAGGUAGCCGGGUUGAGAGACUGAUCGGCCACAUUGGGACUGAGAUACGGCCCAGACUCCUACGGGAGGCAGCAGUGGGGAAUUUUGCGCAAUGGGGGCAACCCUGACGCAGCAACGCCGCGUGCGGGAUGAAGGUCUUCGGAUUGUAAACCGCUUUCAGUAGGGAAUAUUAUGAAGGUACCUACAGAAGAAGCACCGGCUAAAUACGUGCCAGCAGCCGCGGUAAUACGUAUGGUGCGAGCGUUAUCCGGAAUCAUUGGGCGUAAAGCGCGCGUAGGCGGCUUGUUAAGCAGGAAUUUAAAUCUUAGGGCUCAACCUUAAGUCGGUUCCUGAACUGGCAGGCUCGAGUGCGGUAGAGGAAGGUGGAAUUCCCAGUGUAGCGGUGAAAUGCGCAGAUAUUGGGAAGAACACCGAUGGCGAAGGCAGCCUUCUGGGCCGUCACUG